GACGAACGCUGGCGGCGUGCUUAACACAUGCAAGUCGAACGGAAAGGCCCUGCUUUUGUGGGGUGCUCGAGUGGCGAACGGGUGAGUAACACGUGAGUAACCUGCCCUUGACUUUGGGAUAACUUCAGGAAACUGGGGCUAAUACCGGAUAGGAGCUCCUGCUGCAUGGUGGGGGUUGGAAAGUUUCGGCGGUUGGGGAUGGACUCGCGGCUUAUCAGCUUGUUGGUGGGGUAGUGGCUUACCAAGGCUUUGACGGGUAGCCGGCCUGAGAGGGUGACCGGCCACAUUGGGACUGAGAUACGGCCCAGACUCCUACGGGAGGCAGCAGUGGGGAAUAUUGAACAAUGGGCGGAAGCCUGAUGCAGCAACGCCGCGUGCUGGAUGACGGCCUUCGGGUUGUAAACCGCUUUCGCCUGUGACGAAGCGUGAGUGACGGUAAUGGGUAAAGAAGCACCGGCUAACUACGUG
rnacentral:rRNA from 1 species